rnacentral:RNase_P_RNA from 1 species
ACUACAAGCUGCUCUAUCGCGGGUUUGAGCUAUUCAAACAUGAGGAAAGUCUGAACAACGCAGAGCAUCGCACCAUCUAACGGAUGGGGUUUUCUUUUGCUUUUGCAUAAGAAAAUACAGAAAGUGUCGCAGAAAAUAACCGCUUUCAUUUUAUUGGAAGUAAGGGUGAAAACGUGCGGUAAGAGCGCACGGCUAUUAUUGGUAACAAUAGUAGCGGAUAAACCUUGCGAGUUGAAAUGCCAUGUAUACCAGCAUGGGCUCUUCGGAGUCCGUAGGGUUGCUCGCUCUAGCUGGAGGGUAGGCAGAUAGAGCCAAUAGGUGACUAUUGGUCUAGAUAAAUGAUAGAGACUCUUUGUAGAGUACAGGAUUCGGCUUAUAGGCUUGUAGUUGCU